ensembl:lncRNA
GAUGAAUCAACCCCCACUCCCUGCAGCUUGCAGGAUUGCAGAAUGUUUUUGGAAGUCCUCUGCCCAGUCAUUUUGAGAGGAUGCUGACCCUGUAUUAUCAGUGAGGAAAGAAGGCAGGCAGUGAUGAAUAAAAGAAGGGUCUUCAUAAUUUCAGUUUCUCAAUGUGAGUCACCCACAGCCUGAGUGCUGAUGACAGAUAUUCAGAGCUCAGCUCCAGCAGUCAUUGCACAAUCUACAGACCUCCCACCCAAACACCCAGAGGUAUUAAACUGCGACUGUGCACAAGGACUGGCCUUUCCUUUAGCCUGGCUCCAAAAGUAAAUUGGAAAAGUCAAGCAUUGGAAGAUGAGGAGAAUGGGAGCAGGCACAGAAGCAAGUGUGAGAUAACCUACUAAGAUAGUGUCUGUGCUGUGGAGAAGUUCAAGAACCUGUUUCCUUACAAACCAUUCAGUGUGUCUGGCACCGCAGAGCUGAUGGGAACCACUCCCUGCAUUGAUCUGGCGAUGCAGACCUGAAGAUUAUUUGCCUACAAACAGCUAUUGUUUGCAGGACUGGCAAAUGAAAAAAACAAGUAUGUUUUCUCCACAGAUCAUUUUGCUUCCUACUUUCUCUUGAUAAGAGGAAUUUAGGGACAGUUCCCAUGUUAUGGAAGCAGUGGUUAUCUAGGCAGGAACGGAGAAGCCUAAAAUGUGCUUUCUUCUUCUGCUCCUUCCUCCCUUGUCUCUUUGCUCUCACUCAUCAUCACAUCUGUUCUGGGCCCAAUGCCCGACAGUUCUGCAUUAACGCCUCAGUACACACAGGCUCCCACAGCUGAACAGUUCGCAGUGCCACGUACCCAGUGCCGUCAUGUCUUCCCGAAUCAAGCUCCUGCAAACCAGUUUUGUUUACGGGAAGAAUCACUUGGCUUCAGAAUGCUACUUGUGAGCUGUGCCCAGCUGACUCGAGACACUCCAAUGGUUUUGCAGGGCGCCAUCGUGAAUCUAGAAAAUACAGACCAGAGCAGCUAUUCUCUGCACAAUCCCUCUCUUUUCCACCUUUUGGGUUGAAUUCUGCUGUUUGAACCAGAAGCCGGGAAACUGCUCUUCUCCUAACCUCGGCGGUACUUUCUGUGAAGAUUUGAUGAUGUUACCGUGUCCAAAGGCACCUUCCAAGCCCCAGCGGGAAAAGCCAAACCACGGCCCCUGUCCAGCAGGCUCUUUGGCACCAGGAAAAUCUCAGCUAUUGUCUUACUGGCUCUGGUUCUGUUAGGCCUUGGAUCUGCUUAAUCUUUAAAGCUAUUCAAACAAAUUGAAUGAUACAAGGCAAUUAAAUAGGCACUAAGUCCUUCUGUCAAGAGUGCUACCAUGAACAAAGUUAAAAGGAACAAACCUGGAAAUCUUCCCUUCAUGAAGAAGAAAGAGAUGCAAACAUAAAGUCAUGGGAGAGCUGGUACUGGUGCCUGGACAGAGACCAAGUUUUAAAGUAGCCCCUGUGCUACAAACCACAGAACACGAACACAGGAAUGAUGGUUUGUCCCAGGCACAGCUUCUGCAGGAUGUUAUUUUGUCAGUUUAUCCCAACCUCGCAGGGAUUCAGCGCUGGCACUCAAAGGUCUCAUUUGAACCUUUUGAAAUGUUUAUUCUUUCACUACUACUGUCCAAAGAAAAUGGAAAUGAUGCCACCGAGUAUGGAAGAACUCGUGACGUCCAUAGUCAGCUGCCACUGUGGAUGAUGAAGCUUCAGCUGUGGUUUGCUCCUUCUCAUGUUAUGCAAUUUUCUCUUGGUAUUUGGCAGAACUGCUUCAGAAUGGAUACUUUGCAGAGCUGUGCAUCUUGUGAUGAGGCAUUGUUGAAAUCCUCCAGUGUAGACUCCCUUGUAGGAGUCAAAACUUUAUCUGGGUUAUCAGGAAAAUAAGAAUUAUGUUGGGGUUUUGGGGACAAUUUUUUUGUGAUCUGGACUGUCUGGCUUCAGUGGAAAAGCAACACACUGAGAAAGGUCUGUAGGUCUGCACCUGCAAAACUCCUAGACUGCAGAUACUGAUACCCACUGAGGCCAUUGGUAAAACCCCAGCACAGGUUCAGGUCAACAGCUCUGCAGGCUGCCCCACUGACAAUCUCUCCUUUCUGACUUUCCAUCUUUCCUUACACAUUUUUCUUCAGAUCCUGUAAAAUACACUGAAAUAAUGAAAACCUUUUGAUUUUGAAGCUAAUGUCUAUAGCAGUGAUGGUUUAUACAGUGCUGUUCUACCUCCAGGGAAUUACCUGAUGGGCCAAAUGAGUUGGGUUUGCUUGAGUUUCUGAGCAGCUGAGGGUCUGUCUUUCCAUGGACACAGACAGAAGUGGUGCUGACUGAUGGAGAGAGCAGAAAGCUGUGCCCAGGGUCACAUGAGCUGCUUGCAGUCUUGUCCUUGGUCACAUCAGGUGACUCCCUCUCUGCUGAAUGUCCUACCCCUCAUGCCAGGCAACAGUUCCACCUUUUACUCAUCGAGGUGUAGUGUCAAACCAUGUGCCCAGGAUGUUGGAGCUCUGUGCCAGCUUUUCACCUCUCACACCACCAGUGUCUCCAGAAAGGUAGAAGUGAGAAGGACAAUCCAUGGAACAUUCCCACACUGAUGAGGCAUUUCCCAUCUCUGAAAGAAACACAGAAGGAUGCUGUCCUCACCCCAAAUGUACGUGCUUAGUGGAAGAGCAAGGGCAUGAAACCCCUUUUAAAAUAUCUACUGUUCAUGCAGAAAUAUAUCUCUACAUAAUGCUGAACUUCUCAUUUUGAGUAAGCAGAGGAACAGUAGCACAGAUAUUGCAGUUUUCCAUCAAGCAGUACAAUUUCCUAUAAAAGACAAGGCUUCCCUAAUUCUUCAAAUGCACCAGGUAACAUCUAUACAAAUAAUGGGAUUUGGCUGAGUACAGUUAAAUAUAUUUGAUUACUUCCCUUUUAUCUAGUUCUAGGUUUACUGUACUUUUCCUUGGAUGGCAAAUAAGAAGCCCUUUUCUUCUAAGUGACAGCAGGGAAAAGAAUCAGGUUGCUAAUUUACCCGAGACUCAGGAGUGUGUAAUGAUAGAUGUGUGCUGGAAACUACAGAGGGGGCUUUCUAAUUUUGGGGGGAGGAGAGAGGGAGAGCGUGAGAUUUGUUAAUCUUUCAGAUUGAUGGUGCUUUUGCUGAUGGACUUUCAUGGUUGUAAUUACACACACAUCAGGAAACAAAUGCAGUGAGAAGAAGAGCUGACAGGAGGCUGGGACCUAACAAAAUCUGUCAUACAGGAAGCAAUUAAAAUGGAAAAUCACCAUUCUCCAGACAAACAAGGACACAACGUGCUCGUGGUUAAUCACAGCAUCUUUCUCAAAGCAAAGGUUACAGACUUACUUGCAUGGUGUGGGAAGUGAGCACACACAUGGUCCAGGAGCAGUCUGGUUGAAGAAGCAGAAAUCCUUGUGUGGAUGUCCAGCUCUGCAGGACACCGGUGCUUCCAAGGACAUGUGCCACCUAGGUUUUUGCAUAAUAGAUCUCCACCAAAAUCUUUUUGAAGAGAUGUAAAGGAAAGAGGCAGGUGGAGAGGGAGAAGUGAGGAUGGAGGGC